CUUAGAGUGCCAUAGGGCCAGGAAUGUGCAUUUGCACAGCUCUCUGGGGAUGCUGAUACAGGGGACCAAAGACUAUCUACUGAGGCCCAGUGUAACUUUACUGUGAGACAACUAAGUCACCUUCCCACCCGGAGAUGCCUCCUGAGCUGACCACAGGGCGGCCACACCUGGCAUCUGGAAGAGGCUCUGGGAGGGUCCAAACAACAAACCACGCGGCGUUCUCUGGUGGCUGUGCUGGGACGAGUGGGCGGAAACAGCCGCAGGACCUGAAGGAAGUCACGCCCAUGGGCCAGACCUAACGUUCUUUAAUGCUGACUCUCAAUUUUUAAAUAGAGCUUCCCUUCCUUAACCAACUGCAAAUCAGAAAAUUGUUGAAUCCCCUACCCCGUGACCUGUAAGCCCCUGCUUCAAGAUAUCCUGUGUGUUAAGGUCAAACCAAUAUGUAGCCUCCAUGUAUUGACUUAUGACUUUGUGUGUAACCUCUGCCUGCCUGCCUUUAGAAACCCUUGCUUGCAAGCCACUGGGAAGGUCAGGUGAGCUGCCUGAUUCUCCUUGCUGGGUGCCCUGAAAAUAAACACCCUCCUUUCUCUCACUACAAAACCUCAGUUUGAAUGUUUGGCUUCACUGCCCUGGAGGCACAGACCUCAGUUCAGUUGGGCAACAUGGGUCUCGGGGUGCUGAAAGCC
rnacentral:lncRNA from 1 species